UACGGUGGAUGCAAGCGUUAUCCGGAAUGAUUGGGCGUAAAGCGUCCGCAGGUGGUUGUGAAAGUCUGCUGUUAAAGCGUCAGGCUUAACCUGAUAAAGGCAGUGGAAACUAUGCGACUAGAGUGCGUUAGGGGCAGAGGGAAUUCCCAGUGUAGCGGUGAAAUGCGUAGAGAUUGGGAAGAACACCGGUGGCGAAGGCGCUCUGCUAGGCCGCAACUGACACUGAGGGACGAAAGCUAGGGGAGCGAAUGGG
rnacentral:rRNA from 1 species